rnacentral:lncRNA from 1 species
ACUUUUGUUAAUGUUGUUAAGUAUAAAUUAGACAUAAUGCGAAAAAGGCUAGAAACAGAGGAAAGAGAUGCAACAAGUCGAGCCAGUUUUAAAUGCCCCAACUGUUUGAAAACAUUCACUGAUCUCGAGGCGGAUCAGCUUUUUGAUUUUGUUACUCAAGAGUUCCGGUGCACGUAUUGUGGCUCAGUUGUGGAGGAAGAUCAGUCUGCUCUUCCGCGGCAAGAUUCUCGGCAAAUGAUGGUCAAGUUCAAUAGUCAAUUAGAACCAUUUUCGUUCUUCUGAGAGAGGUGGAAGGAAUUAGAUUAGCACCUAAAGUUUUAGAGCCAGAGCCUGUAGAUAUCAAUACAAUCAAAGGAUUGGAUACUAGAUCGAAUAGUAGCAAAUCCUCCGAGCAGUGGUCAGGAGAGGCAAGUCGGAAUCAAGGAUUUUUAGUAGAGGAAGCUAGAGUAGAUAUACAAUUUGGUGAUAAAGAAACGCCGAAGGAAACGAAUAAAAAGAAAGACCGAUCUGGAUGGUGGAAUCUACAGUUCUUCCAAAUGGUUUCAGUCAGACUAAUGUAAUCGUAGAAGAUACGGGUACUCCAGUUCCUACCAUCGAAAGUACAUCAUCGUCGAAAGGAGGUGAAGAUAUAAUGUCGUACCUGCUCCAGCAUGAACGGAAAGGCGGAGCAAAUCAAACUAGUUUAGCUGCAGCCAGCCUAGCAAAUCCAAGGGAUGAUCAUAGUGAUUCAAGUAAUGACAUGGACAAUAGCUUAGAUAAUCGACUCAAAGACUUCCAGUUGUCACAAGAUGUAGAGACUUUAGAAUCUGAAGAAGAGGAAGAAGAAAUGCCAUCUGUAACUGUCGGGGAUGUAAGCUAUUUACUAAGUGAAAUUGAUGACAAAGUCAUAGCUAAGAUGACGCAAGCUGAGAAAAAUAACUACAUAUCUGUUUAUCAAGACUAUUAUUCGAGAGUCUAUGAUUAGUUUCCAUCAUGUUUGGGUGGCAAAAGUAAUUUCAACUCUCAGUAAGUAUUUUCUCACCUUAUAUACUAUAAUAAAUAAAUUACUAGUGAAGGGUCUCUUGUCUCUGAAAGAAUUGCAGGAUUUUCCUCGGAAAUAUAAUAAGAGCACCAAAUAAUCUUUCUAAAUA